rnacentral:lncRNA from 1 species
GCGCUUGUUUCACUUCCGGUCUGGGAAGUAGUUUCGCAGGCGCUGAACUAUUAACCGGUGCCAUUUGGCUGGAACUGAAUCCGGUAUUGUUGGGAAUGUUAUGGUCCCGGUUUGAGGAAGAUGUGCUCCUACCUUCGUCCAACCUCCGAAGCUUUGUAGGACGACUACUUGGCUCCCUAGGAUCAUGUCCUGAGUGAUGUACAAAUGAUCGUUGAACUUGCUGGUGUAAGAACGGCAAAUCAGCCGUCUGAUUCGGUGGUCUAACAGGAUGGACAGGAGGAAGUAGCGG